GACGAACGCUGGCGGCGUGCUUAAUACAUGCAAGUCGAACGGACCGCUUCCGGUGGGUUGCUAUUUGGCGAGGGUGUUGGCGAACGGGUGAGUAACUCGUCGCGACUCUGCGCUUAAUUCCAGGAUAACAGAGCGAAAGUGCUGCUAAGACCGUAUACGCUUAGCCAGUGGCGUGGAUGGUUUAGGGAAGGGAACGGGUAGGGAUGGGCCCGCGUCCGAUCAGCUAGUUGGUGGGGUAACGGCCCACCCAGGCAACGAGGGGUAGCCGGCCUGCGAGGGUGACCGGCCACACUGGGACUGAGACACGGCCGAGACUCCUACGGGAGGCAGCAGUGGGGAAUAGUGCGCAAUGGGCGGAAGCCGGACGCAGCGACGCCGCGUGGGGGAUGACGGCCUUCGGGUUGUAAACCUCUUUCAGCAGGGACGAAGCGCAAGUGACGGUACCUGCAGAAGAAGCACCGGCCAACUACGUG
rnacentral:rRNA from 1 species